CCCUUAGAUGUUCUGGGCCGCACGCGCGCUACACUGAUGCAUUCAACGAGUCUAAAACCUGCUCUGAUAGGGGUGGGUAAUCUUUUGAAUGUGCAUCGUGAUUGGGAUAGAUGAUUGCAAUUUUUCAUCUUCAACGAGGAAUGCCUAGUAAACGCAAGUCAUCAGCUUGCAUUGAUUACGUCCCUGCCCUUUGUACACACCGCCCGUCGCUCCUACCGAUUGAAUGAUCCGAUGAAUAUCAUGGAUUGAGGAUGCAAGCAGGUUCGCCUGUCUUCAUCUUCAAGAAGUGAAGUAAAUCUUAUCAUUUAGAGGAAGGAGAAGUCGUAACA
rnacentral:rRNA from 1 species